UACAGAGGUCUCAAGCGUUGUUCGGAUUCAUUGGGCGUAAAGGGUGCGUAGGCGGUCCGGUAAGUCCGCUGUGAAAGUCGAGGGCUCAACCCUCGAAUGCCGGUGGAUACUGUCGGGCUUGAGUACGGGAGAGGCGAGUGGAAUUCCUGGUGUAGCGGUGAAAUGCGCAGAUAUCAGGAGGAACACCGAUUGCGAAGGCAGCUCGCUGGAACGUUACUGACGCUGAGACGCGAAAGCGUGGGGAGCAAACAGG
rnacentral:rRNA from 1 species